AGAUAAAGGAGUAACAAAUUGUAGUAUUUUUUACUUAUGCACUAUAUUGUUCCAGAUACGGGUUAAAAUCUAAGCAGAUAUUGAUUUCAUGUUUGGCCCAUCUAACACUUGACGGACAACGCAAACUUAGGUAGGAGUUACUAGGUCCUACCUAGGAGUUACUCGAUCCUACCUAGCAGUUACUAGGUCCUAUUAAGGAGUUACUCGGUCCUAACUAGGAGUUACUAAGUUGUACGUUGAAGUUACUAAAUCGUAGUACGAGAUAGUAAGACGUGCGUUGUCCCCAGGUAUUGUCAUACGUAGGAAUUAGUAAAUUCUACGUAUAACUUACUACAAAUCCCUGUGCUGGCACCGUGACGCUUUCACGGAAACCUGUGCCAUAAUUUUGCAGUGCCUAUCAUCGGUUAGACGAACAAAACAUUAAAUCAUUAUUAUGCUACGGUGUUUAAACGUGCCUGAACCAAAGUGCAAAAUAUAGGACAUUUUUCACAAUAAAGCAGCAAAAGGAUUUUUGUACUUAUCAUUACCGUUCCCGGGCAAACAACGGUUACUAUGCUAUUUUUCAAAGCAUAUACAGGUAUGGAAGGAGAAUCUGUCACUUGCAGGUGUACCGGACGCAGACAGUUCUGUAAAUCUCAUUGUUGCCCAUGUACUGGGAUCGAAAAUGAAAAAUGUGACCGAUAUGAAUUUUAUUCCUUCUGAAUGUACACAAAGAAAAAUAGAAGAAAUGUGUAAGGAGAGAAUGAAAAGGAAACCAGUGCAGUAUAUCAUCGGUGAAUGGACUUUUCAUGAUAUGACACUGGAGAUGAGACCGCCGGUUUUUAUUCCACGACGGACAACAGAGGCAAUUACAAUUUGUAACUAAGCGCAUAUUUCAGUAAAUUCAACUGUGUUCUUAGGACUUCGCAAGCAUUAUAGUGAAGGUCAUUGGAGCAUGAACAGACAGGGAGAUUUCUAGAGAUUGGCUGUGGAACGGGAGCAGUGUCUCUUUAUAUACUUAGAAAAUUGCCAAAUGUAAAAUGUGUUGUGGUGGAUAAAAAUGAAACUGACUGUAAAUUAACCGUCGCCAAUGCAACACGAUAUAAUCUAGAAGAAAGAAUACACGUCAUCCAUGGAGAUAUAUUACAAGUUGUCAACGAAAGGUCGGAUGUAGUACUAUUUUGCGAAUCUAAACUUUCUACGGUAUGUUUUCAUAAACUUUGUUUAUAAUUUUAUUAAACUUAUGAAUAUGAAAGGUUAGAAAACGAGUAUUUCGUGAUAAAAUCAGUUUCUAACAAGAGUCAGUACGCAAAUGUUUGGGCUGACUCUGAUUAGGUUAACAAAUGGAGCCAAUAAAAUAUAUAAGAAGAUCAUUUGGAAACAUCGAACGGAACCAAGUAAAAUAAUAGCAGACUCGGCUUGACAUGAACAACAACACCCAAUCAAGCUCCCAAGCAACAGCUUGAGCGGAAGUCUAUUAACACAGACAUUAAAUGACCAUCGGAAAAUAAAUACAGUGGCAGUAAUAUCAGGGUAGCCAGAACUAACCUUUUUCUUACAUGUUAUACAUUAUUACUGUAAACUUGUUCUGUGAAAUGUAUAAAUAGAUAUUUUUGUCAAUUUAGAAAUAAUCCUAGUUUUUAAUGCAACUGACCGGCCUUCUAGGUAUGAGGAUCUUGAUGCGAUAUAUGCUGGUACUGAUGGUCUAGAUAUUAUUCGGAGGAUACUUGCUAUAUCACACACUCUCCUAUAUGAUAACCUAAGGUACGUGUCCAGAUUCUGGUUUGUUCCAUUAGCUUGUUCGGUCAAGUGUUAUUAAUUAUUUCGUACCGGAAGCAUUUUUUUAUGAAAUGUUUUAUUAAAACUUAAUACAAAUGCUAAACCAUAAUGCUUAACCAUCAUUCGGUAAUGUGUGUAAAGAAACAAAAUUUUUGCUCCGAUAUGGCUCAAUCUUGAUUUUUUUUAGAUAUAUGUUACACUUUGUAAUGUCGAAAUCUCCAUACUCUUGUAGGGAUAUAUCCGGGUUAUCGUAAGAUAUAAGCUAUAAGAAGAGAACAUAGUUUAUGGUUUAUUGAUAUUGUUUUAUUUAAGUGUAUGCUGGUAGGUACUUCUACUUGACUGAGUUUCUUUGGACGACGACAUACCUUACAAUAAGUUACGCCUACUUGAAAGAAAGAAUUUGAUUUUUAAGGGAGUGAACUCGUGACCUAUAUCCCAUUUAGCGACAGGCUGCUUUGUCUGGAGACAUCUUGUCCUAUAAAAGCAUAUACAUGUGCAAGGAAUCUGUAGUCAAAGCUCCAGGCUCAUUUUCUGGUGGUCUGUCCCCCAAUCAUUUUAUAAUAUUAGAGUCAACUCGAUUAUGGGGGGAGCUUUACGCUUGAAUGAAUGACUUUCCGGAACACCAUUUAAUAGUGGUGUCAUAUAAGAGGUAAAGAAGACUUGACCCUAGCUGGGUUCGAAUGCCCAAUUUAUAGGUUUAGUCACAGCCACAAGACCAGAAAUAAAAUGACAAAAAUCAUGAUAUUCUACCCUAUGCACGGUAUGAAAGACAUGCCCACGAAUAGGGAAACUUCAUUCGCGCAUUUCCGACCAUAAACGCGUAGUUCAGUAAAUAUUGAAGAAUUGAUAAUUUAUCUUCAGUUAAAAUUAUUUCAACCAAUAAUGUCCUAUCGUGUAGGGAUCACGUUUUCUCAAUGUUUCUUAUCAGUGAGACAUUUAACAUGUUUCUAUGUUUUCAUCAACGUUACAGACUUUUUGCACAAGGUCCUCUAGUAAACUUCCGGGAAAUGUUCGAUUGAAAAUGGCUUGUAUAUUUCCCGUUUAUGACCUUGUUUGUCAUUCCAUACACGGGGGUUGGGUACUAUGUACAAUAACAUUUUAUUUUAGGUCUGGUGACAGUUGGCUUACCGGCGACACUUAAUCCACCACUACAUUUUCUGCUUGACUUUCACGGGUAAUAAACCAAGCUGAUGUUGACAUGUCAAUGUCUGUGCUGUAUUAUAUAAUAACUGAAUUGUUUUGUGGUGUACUUGCCUUUAAGCCACCUGUUUUUCUU